UACGAAGGGAGCUAGCGUUACUCGGAAUUAUUGGGCGUAAAGCGUGCGUAGGCGGUUUUAUAAGUCGGAAGUGAAAGCCUGGGGCUCAACCUCAGAAUGGCUUUCGAUACUAUAAAACUUGAGUAUCAGAGGGGGUGGCGGAAUUCCUAGUGUAGAGGUGAAAUUCGUAGAUAUUAGGAGGAACACCGGUGGCGAAGGCGGACACCUGGCUGAAUACUGACGCUGUUGCACGAAAGCGUGGGGAGCAAACAGG
rnacentral:rRNA from 1 species